UACAGAGGGUGCAAGCGUUAAUCGGAAUUACUGGGCGUAAAGGGCGCGUAGGCGGUUAUAUAAGUUAGGUGUGAAAUCCCCGGGCUUAACCUGGGAAUGGCAUUUAAUACUGUAUGACUAGAGUAGAGUAGAGGGAAGUGGAAUUUCCGGUGUAGCGGUGAAAUGCGUAGAUAUCAAGAGGAACACCUGAGGUGAA
rnacentral:rRNA from 1 species